CCCGGUGGUUAUAGGGGCAGGGUUCCACCCGUUCCCAUUCCGAACACGGAAGUUAAGCCUGCCACCGCCGAUGGUACUGCAUGCGCAGGUGUGUGGGAGAGUAGGUCACUGCCGGGA
rnacentral:rRNA from 1 species